GUGGCGGCAAGGAGAAACUGCAGCAGAGUCGGCACAGGACCCCAGCUUCCAUCCUCACGUUGUGUGGACUUGGUCCAGCUUCCUGCCGCGGACCAUGAGCAAUCCAAGGGUAGGGGAGCCUCAAGAGGGAGACACUGACCUUUACGUAAUGAGGCAGGGAGGGGUUCAAGCAAUUAAUUGAGAAAGGAUGUGACAGGACUGGCACCUGGUCACUUUGUGGCCGUGAGCACCAGCUCCGCCUAUCCCCUCUGCAGGGCAGAAGGGGCGGUGCUGCGGGAGGCGGAGGUGCUGUGGCUCUGGGAAGGCUGAAAAGGGACGGCUGCAAAGGAGAAGAGCUUCGAGUCCUUUCCAUCAGGAGAAAAACCCGGUCAGCUGUGGAGGAGCACUGCACAGGAGUCAGAAAGUGGAGUCUGGGCGUGACCUUGCACCUGACCAGCCUGGGGCUCUAGGUCUGCCACAUCUGGACUAAUCUCCUGUGUCCUGAGCUCCCAGGACCCCAGAGGCAAGCAUGGAGGGGCCAUGCUGGCAGAACCCACAGUGGCUUAGGACGAGCUCCUGCACAGCGGCCUGUUUCCCAGUUGCAACGUGUAUCUCUUUGCCUCUCUUGGCUCAGCCCUGGCCCUAUCCCCAGGCCAUCCAAGGGGCAGCCUGGUGAGGUUUCCUCAACUUUGCUAAUGACUUGACCUACAGUCUUAAGUCAAGAAGGUGUCGCUCUCCUUUGUGAUGGCUGGACGCACAGGAGCUGUGGUCAGGAUGGGGCUAGAGGAGCUGAAAUCCCAGGGCAACAAGGGUAUUUAAAAACACAUCGCAGGAGAAACAGCUAAAGAGUCUUGGAACCAGGAAUCAUAAGCUGUUUGAUGGGAUGAACUAUCUUGGGAGUGAUGAGGUCCCCAUCACUGAAAGUAUUCAAGCAGAGAGAGUCAUGGAAUUAGGAGAUGGAAGAGCAUCAGACACUGAAUGAAGUCUGCACUACAUGAGAUGAAGAACCCUUCCAGCCCUGAGGCCAAGCAGCCACUUCUCUGGAGCAGGCUGGCCCAUCUAUGUCCAGGAGGCCAGCCCCAGGCUAGCUUCUGAGCACUGGGAGCUAAGUCCUUCCCCUUCCAGAGACUGCACAAAGUGUGUGCCACCUCCACGGAACCCUCCUCAUCCACCCAAGAACUCUUCCUCACCUGACCUAAAGCUCUUCAUUUCACACCACCUUUCAAGCAAAUUAAGGAUUAAUUGCCAGCAGCAAUCUCUGUCUUUGUUUGUUUUCUCUAAUGGAAAACCUUUCUCUCGGGAGGGUAAGGUUAUCAGUCAUUCACAGCUCAGUUGUGCUGUGUUUGAUUAGACUGGACGGCAAAGCUGAGUCCUGUUUGGGCUCUGUGCGAUCCUGGGCCCCUUGGAGCCUGUUUUCUCAUCUAUGAAAUGGGAGUAAUAAUAGUGCUUAUUGCACAGUUGUUUUAAGAACUAAAAAUUUAAAUUGUCUAGAAUGUUACACAAACAUAAGCUACCAUAUUUUGGAAAAAUGAGCCAAGAUCAGUGGUGCCAAGGGAAGAAUGGGCAGAGGUGAGCUGUAGGCAGCCAUGGAGGAUGGUCCAGGGUGUGGCUGCCAGAGGGCAUCGGGGGCCAGGCGACUCCAGAAAGGAGCUAGGAAUGUUAGAGAAAACUGCACUAACAGCCAGCAUGCGUGAAGAACUGAUUCAUACUACACCGUGGAUGAACCUCAAGAACAUUAUUCUUGGCAAAAGCAGACAGACACAAAAGGUCACAUAGCAAAUGCUUCCGUUGAUAUGAAAUGUCCAGCACUGGCAAAUCCACAGAGACAGAAAGUAGAUUAGUAAUAGCCAGUGGCUGCAGAGAGGGAAGGAGGGGAGUGAUGGCUUAAUGGGUACAGAGAUUUUACUUUGGGGUAAUGAAGAUAUUUUGGAAUGAGACAGAGCUGGUGGCUGCAUAGAGCAUUAUGAAAGUGCUAACUGCCAUUGAAUUAUUCACUUUAAAACAGUUAAUUUAACGCUAUGUGAAUUUCACCUCAAUAAAAAAGGUACAAAAUAGAAA